GAUGAACGCUGGCGGCGUGCCUAAUACAUGCAAGUCGAGCGAACGGACGAGAAGCUUGCUUCUCUGAUGUUAGCGGCGGACGGGUGAGUAACACGUGGAUAACCUACCUAUAAGACUGGGAUAACUUCGGGAAACCGGAGCUAAUACCGGAUGAUAUUUUGAACCGCAUGGUUCAAAAGUGAAAGACGGUCUUGCUGUCACUUAUAGAUGGAUCCGCGCUGCAUUAGCUAGUUGGUAAGGUAACGGCUUACCAAGGCAACGAUGCAUAGCCGACCUGAGAGGGUGAUCGGCCACACUGGAACUGAGACACGGUCCAGACUCCUACGGGAGGCAGCAGUAGGGAAUCUUCCGCAAUGGGCGAAAGCCUGACGGAGCAACGCCGCGUGAGUGAUGAAGGUCUUCGGAUCGUAAAACUCUGUUAUUAGGGAAGAACAUAUGUGUAAGUAACUGUGCACAUCUUGACGGUACCUAGUCAGAAAGCCACGGCUAACUACGUG
rnacentral:rRNA from 1 species